CUGACCCGAAACUCACUUUCCCAACAAUUCAUUAUUUUACCCUCAACCCCAGUGCUUUAGUAUCUCAAUGAACUUUUCGUUGCCGCUGCUCAUCACGCUCUUGUAAUCAUGGCUAUAUCGUAGUAAAACGAAGCGUGUUAGACAGUUCACUUGUAAAACGGAUUCGGUGUUCUACGGAGGCGAAUAGAAAGUAUUGCCGCAGCGCCUGUUUAAAAACUCAAGCAGUUACUACAUCUGCUGAAUUUCCGGUCAAUCGAAAAGAAUUUUCAUAUUCCGGUUUAUUAAUUAAACGAAUAACAACAACAGCCAAAAUGGUU